UGGAGCUGAGAGCUGCUGCUGAGAGAGAAGCUCAGAGGUAGUUACUAUGUGAGGCUACAGAUGCCCGCCAGUGUGCUGGGCAGAGGAGUGUGCUGGGCAGAGGAGUGUGCUGGGCAGAGGAGUGUGUGGAGAAGCUGGAGAGAAGCUGAGAAAUCUGCUCAGAAGUACAACAGAUCCCUUUGGUUUCCUUCUACCUCGUCACUUUUGCCAGAUACUGACUGCAGAAUUCCUCAGUUUAUUUAUUUAUUUAUUAUUAUCAAAGUCAGUUUCAGAAGACUUGUUAUCCUCUAUCCAGAACAUGAGUCUCUUCAUUUUGAUUGCGGCCUUCUCCAGAAACUGGACCUGAACGGGAAUUCUGAAACACGCGGGACGUGACAAGGGAUUCCACA